rnacentral:rRNA from 1 species
UGGCUCAGAACGAACGCUGGCGGCAGGCCUCAAACAUGCAAGUGUAGGGGGUGUAGCAAUACAUCACCGCCGGCCGGGUGCGUAACACGUGGGAACGUACCCUUCGGUUCGGAACAACCCAGGGAAACUUGGGCUAAUACCGGAUCCGUCCGAAAGGAGAAAGAUUUAUCGCCGAGGGAUCGGCCCGCGUCUGAUUACUUAGUUGGUGAGGUUUUUUCUCACCAANGGGGGGAGACAAUACCUCGUCUGAGAGGAUGAUCANCCNACACU